rnacentral:rRNA from 1 species
UGGGGAAUUUUGGACAAUGGGGGCAACCCUGAUCCAGCAAUGCCGCGUGUGUGAAGUAGGCCUUCGGGUUGUAAAGCACUUUUGUCCGGGAAGAAAUCCUUUUCGAUAAUACCGAAGGGGGAUGACGGUACCGGAAGAAUAAGCACCGGCUAACUACGUGCCAGCAGCCGCGGUAAUACGUAGGGUGCGAGCGUUAAUCGGAAUUACUGGGCGUAAAGCGUGCGCAGGCGGUGAUGUAAGACCGAUGUGAAAUCCCCGGGCUUAACCUGGGAACUGCAUUGGUGACUGCAUCGCGGGAGGAUGGCAGAGGGGGGUAGAAUUCCACGGGUAGCAGUGGAAUGCGUAGGGAUGUGGAGGAAUGCCGAUGAGGAAGGCAGCCCCCUGGGCCAAUACUGACGCUCAUGCACGAAGGCGUGGGGAGCAAACAGG